GCCAACAUGGUGUAGAGGUUUGAGUGUCGGACUUUAAUUCUGGAGAGCAGGGUUCGAAUCCCCCCUUUGCCA